ACAGGGGGUCCAUGCUGUUGGGGGCCGCCGCGGGGUGCAUUAGCCCCAUCCCGGGGCUUUGUUGUCCGCCAUGUUGAUCAAAGCAAGGCCCGGCCCGGCUCGUUGAGGAGGCGCCUCCGCCGCUGCUGCCAGCGUUGCCGUAAUAGCUAUUAAACUCUGAGACACCCACUGCUGAGGGGCCGCCGCCGCCGCCGCCACCACCUCCUCCGCCUCCGCCUCCUCCAGCGCCUCCGCCGCUGCCCGCUCCCUGAGGUGGCGGCGGAGGCGGCGGCUGCUGCUGCUGCUGGCCGCCCAAAGGUCCCAAGCUGGGGUGGUCGUAGCGGCUGCUGAGGUGCUGCUCGCCCAUUUUGUCCGCCGGUGGCGGCGUCCGCGUCGCUUCUUCCUCGUCUCCGCCUUUAUUCAGCAGGGGCUGAGGCUGUGGCUGGCUCUGGGGCUCAGCCUGUCCCCCCAAGCCACUGUCUUUUCCUCCAUGUUGCUGCCGUUGCUCCAUGUCUGCGCUGCUGGGCUGAGCAGCGCCGCCACCGCCGUUGUUGUUGCUGCCGCCGCCGCCGUUGUUGUUAUUCUGCAUCGGAUGGUGCUGAGGCGGCGGCUGUUGCUGGAAUUGAUUUAGCUGUGGUGGUGGUGGUGGUGGAGGUUGUUGAAGAAGAAGAAGUGCAUGGUGGUGUUGGUGUUGGUGGUGAGCAUGGUGGUGCUGGGCAUGGAGGUUUAAAUGAAACUUUUUUCUUUUCCUCUCUAACCCGGAUAUGGGUAAAUACACGUCUGGCUGAGCCUAUCUGGCCCAGCAUGGCAUGAGAGAGCGAGAGAAGGAGAGGGAGAGCGAGAGAGCUCUAACAACUAUUAUCCACUUCUCUCUGAUUACUCCGGUGCACGUGGAAAACGCGGACUGGAUUUUCCUUCCGUCUUUUGCUACAGCUCUAGCGCGAUGGUAGAUGCAGGGAAGAAGAGAUGCACACUUCACAGCCUCUUCACCUCCCUGAAAUAGGGCAGCUGGUACCACACUGCACAAGGAGGGACGGGUGCUGCCUCCUCCUUUUUUGUAGUUCCCUUUUUAGGCAUGUGAAAAGCAACAACAACAAAUUAAAUCAAAGCACACACACCCCUCCAAUUCCAGAUAAAACCCAGUGUUUGUGUUUUAAUAAUUGACAUUCACUUACCAAACAAAAAACAACCAAAAAUACACCAGCUAGAUAGAAUGAGCUCUGAUGUAAUGCAGCAUAAUUUUUAAUGACCUGUAUUAAACUGUAUAAAGACAAACUACAUAAACAAGUUUGUAUAUGAUCAGACUCACAAGGUGCCAUAUCCAUAGUCACUUUGGCACAUGACAGGCAAAUUUAAGACUGCCCUUUUUACUCUGGCUUUGGCUAGUGAUUUGUUGUCCUCUGGCUGCCAAUCUGUUUUUUUAGCUGUAUCUUUUGGUUGCUUGCUGUGUGUGUGUGUGUUUAUUAUUGUUUAACAAUUUGUUUUUCACUGCCCAGGGGUCACAGGACAAAGGGCAGUAUAUGUACAUAAAUAAAUAAAUAAGUGUCACCUGACAUGUUGACCCCAAUCCAACUCUUAACUGUAACUCCAAAUGCGGAGAUGUACAUUCUUGUCUGCAUCAAAAUGCACAUCCACCUUGCUUGCACAUUUGGGUUUUCCUUGCUGGAUCAUAAUUAUAUAUAAGUUAACUAUCAAGUACUCUAUGUGGAGAGAUUAAAACAGGACAGAAAUAAUUGUUUAAACUAUUUGUUUUUUGUAGAUGAAAAGUAUUAGUUUGUAAUAUGUGCUGUCGCCUGUUAUCAGGACUGAUGCCAUUGUUAUAAACUAUCUAUGUACAUCUUUGUGUAUAGUAAAUGCAUUUAAUAGCCCCAGUAUUCAUUAGCAGGUUAACUGCGGUUGUGGGAUUUAAUUCGAAACCAAUUGAGUAUUCUGAAGACUAAGGCUACAAUCCUAUGCACUCUUUCAUGGAAGUCAGUUCUGCUAAACUCACUGGAAGAUAUUUCUGAGUAAACUUGCAUAAGAAUGGGCUCAAAAAACAAAAAACAAACAGUAACAGGUUACUUUGCCAAAUUUAGGGAGCAAUCCUCCAAGCAGGACUGUUUCCUGUUUCCUCCAAGCAGGACUGUUCCUCCUUGACACAAAAUGGAGGUUGUAUAACAGGAGUGAUUGCACUCUUUGUAAAGUAAAACUAUCUUCAUUAAAUGCCUUCGAGAUAUCAUCUAUCAUCUAUAUUGGCCUACUUAAUAUGUACAUUAAUCGGUUGAUUGAUUUAUUUUAAAAAACAGUCAGGUAGCUGAUUGAUUAAAAGGCAUUGAUUGAUUGGCAGCCCUUCAGAUUAUGUUACCCCAGAUCUGUCACCUUUUCAAGUUCAAAAGGAUGCUAAACUGGCAACAAAUGAUUGUCAUUGUCUAAUUAUUUAAAAUAGCAUAUCAGGAUUUAUUUUAAUGACUCUACUGCAAAUAUUUGUAUGUAUUUCGAAGAGGUAUUAGUAGUUAUCUCAGUCUGCUAGACAACUAAGGAGGUGAGAAAAAUGAGAACAAAAUUCUGAUUUUUUUUUUAAAAUGCAUUGAUUAAAAAAAAAGUAUACUCUUCAA